CCCUGGGGCUACCUGAUCUGACAAAGCCUUUUACAUUAUACGUGUCAGAGAGAGAGAAGAUGGCAGUUGGAGUUUUAACCCAAACUGCGGGGCUCUGGCUGAGGCCGGCGGCCUACCUCUCUAAACAACUAGAUGGGGUUUCUAAAGGAUGGCCCCCAUGUUUGAGGGCCGUGGCAGCAACUGCCCUGCUAGUACAAGAAGCAAAUAAGCUGACUCUUGGGCAAAACCUGAGCAUAAAGGCCCCCCAUGCUGUGGUGACUUUAAUGAAUACUAAAGGACAUCAUUGGCUAGUGAUGCUAGACUCACCAAGUACCAAAGUUUGAUCUGUGAAAAUCUCCAUAAAACCAUUGAAGUUUGCAACACCCUAAACCCCACCACCUUGCACCCAGUAUCAGAGAGCCCUGUCGGGCAUGAUUGUGUAGAAGUGUUGGACUCAGUUUACUCUAGCAGACCUGACCUCUGGGACUAGCCUUGGGCAUCAGUAGACUGUGAACUAUACGUGGACAGGAGCAGCUUCAUCAACCCACAAGGACAGAGACGUGUAGGGUAUGCAGUGGUAACCCUGGACACUGUUGUUGAAGCCAGAUCAUUGCCCCAGGGCACUUCAGCCCAGAAAGCUGAACUCACUGCUUUAAUUUGGGCCUUAGAACUCAGUGAAGGUAAGACUGUAAACAUUUACACUGAUUCUCAGUAUGCCUUUUCAGCCCUUCAAGUGCAUGGAGCAUUAUAUAAAGAAAAGGGCCUAUUGAACUCUGGGGGAAAAGACAUUAAAUAUCAACAAGAAAUCUUGCAAUUAUUAGAAGCAGUAUGGAAACCCCACAAGGUGGCAGUUAUGCAUUGCAGAGGACACCAGAGAGCUUCCACCUUGGUAGGUUUGAGGAAUUCCCGUGCUGACUCAGAGGCUCAAAAAGCAGCAUCUGCCCCCCUCUGGGCAUCAGUCACAGCCCCUCUGCUUACUCAAGCACCUGAUCUUGUAUCUACUUAUUCUAAAGGAGAAAAGGACUUUCUCCGGGUAAAGGGAGGACAAGUGAUGGAGGAAGGAUGGAUUCGGUUACCAGAUGGGAGAGUAGCUGUGCCACAGCUGCUAGGAGCUGCAGUUGUACUGGCUGUGCAUGAAACCACCCAUCUAGGUCAGGAGUCACUUGAAAAGUUGUUAGGCUGGUAUUUCUACAUCUCGGAUUUGUCAGCCCUUGCCAAAAUGGUGACACAGCGGUGUGUUAUCUGCCAACAGCAUAAUGCGAGGCAAGGUCCAGCUGUUCUGCCUGGCAUAUAAGGUUAUGGAGCAGCCCCCUUUGAAGAUCUCCAGGUAGACUUCACAGAGAUGCCAAAGUGUGGAGAUCUUAUUCCUAGAUUUGGACUGCCCUUAUGGAUUGGCUCAGAUAACGGGCUGGCAUUUGUGGCUGACUUGGUACAGAAGAUGGCAAAGGUAUUGGGGAUCACAUGGAAACUGCAUACUGCCUACCAGCCUCAGAGUUCUGGAAAGGUGGAGCAGGUGAUCGAGUGUAGAUCAAGGACUAGAGCAUAGCCUCUUUGUGCCCAUGGUGGAAAGGACCCCAGAUUGUCAUCCUGACCACUCCUACCACUGUGAAGGUAGAGGGAAUCCCAGUGUGGAUCUGCCAUAGCCAUGUAAAGCCUGCAGCACCUGAAACCUGGGAGGCAAGACCAAGCUUGGAUAACCCUUGCACAGUGACACUGAAGAAGAUGACAAGCCCUGUUCCAGUCACACCCGGAAGCUGACUGGUACACGCAUGGCCGAAGCAUGAGGAAGCUCAUUGUGGAACUCAUUUUUCUUAAAUUUUGGACUUGUACAGUAAGGACUUCAAGUGACCUUCCUCAGACUUGAGGUUUAAAAGGGACUUGUGUGUAUAAUGCCACCCCGUACAAGGUAUGCAGCCUAGGAAGUGACCAGACUGAUGUGUGCUAUAACUCAUUAGAACUACUUAAUCCCUAUUGGAAAACAGUAUGUAACUCUAGGAGUCAGUGGAACUGGACUGGCAGGAAGACCUGAGUAGUAUACAUGAGUGAGAACUCCCACUAGUGAGGUUCUCAAAGGGGGGAAUGAGGAGCGGAGCAAUUUCUGUUACUGUCUCCUGUCUCUGAAGAGGAGGAGGAAGUAAAAGUUGAAAAACAACAGGAAUGAAGUCAGUGGCAAGACCAGCUGGUGCCACUGAUGACCCAGCCUGGGGUUAAAAGAUUAACACCACCCCUCACUCUAACCACAUGUGCUCUCAAUCCAUCAGGACCCUUUCAUGUA